AUAUUAUCUUUAGUUCAUUGUAAGUGAUUGGCAUGGUUUUUCUGGGCAAAUCUAUUUUGCGAGUCUCGGUGUCACAAGAGGCUGGUGCAUUGUGAUUGUAUUGAAGAACUUGCCUUUUAAUACUGCGAGUCAUGCAACCUCCCUGCUUUCAUUUAUGCUUUCAGCUUAAUUCUACUUGAUCACCAAAGAUUUCUGCUCUUUGGACAUGGACAAAUCAGAUCAUGAAUUGUUCAUGACUGAUAUUUGCAAGAGAGCUCACUGUCUGCUUGGUCAGACAUGAAUGCACCGUGCUCUUUGUUGGGUUUAUUUCUCUUGCUCUGAUAUGCUGGCUAGAAUAUUGAAGAUGAUUGGACAAGCUUUACAUAAAUGCAACUGGGACAAGUUGAGUUCUUCACAGUGCUUGAAACUGUCAUAUUGAGCAUACUUAGAGAAAUCUGAUUGGUUUUGGAAUUAAACCAAUGAAACUUUGGAAAAUGGAUUACCUUGCAUUGGAAACUUUAUUUAUUAGAAGGAUUUUUUCAGGCUUUUAAAAUAAUUAGCUUUUCUAACUUGAAAACAAUUUUUCCGAGUUUAAUUUAUAGAACUAAAAUAAGAUGCAUCCCCUAAUUUGGAAGUUGUACAGUAAUCUACACAAACCCAAAUUUAUGUUUGAUUUAUAGGAAAAACAUUGGUUCAUGCCUUACCCUGUGAUUGACUGACACGUCUAGCAUUGCCUAAAUUAUUUUGCAUCACAAAGAUGCAAACCUUGUAAAUUUUUGUAUUGUGCAUGUAUCGAAAGUUAAUUCUGUCAACAUUUAUAUUCUCUACUCUAUUAUAGGAAUUGUUUUGUGCUUGGUUUGCGACAAGACACUUAAAUUAAUCAUCAAGUAAUAUUCUUCACUCUCUCUCACUGCAACAAAAAUUCUAACUCUACAAGACUAGGCCUUUUGGUUUUGGCUUGAUCACUUUUGCAAUCCUGUUCCUUUUUUAAUAAUACAUCAGCUCUUGCCUUGUAAAAAAGAAGAAGGAAGACCAAAAAGGUCCUUUUUCAACUAUAUUCUUAGAUGUAUUUCAUCGAUACCACUUAAUUAAUACAAAGAAGGGGAAACAAGUAUUAAAUCUUAUCUUAUUCAUGUAAAUAUAUUCUUUCAGAAUAUCUUAGCAUAUUUUCUUGCUAGCAUGUAAAUGUGGAAUGAAUCAAUCUCCUCUAUGGAAUAAAACUUGGCAAUGAAGAUUCUUGAAAGCAACUUAUGUUUGAGUUUGGCUGAGCAGUGGUGGCCUAAGUUUGGAAUAUGCUAGGCUAUUCUAUCUCAAAUCACAUAAUUGUGUUUAUUUCUUCUAUUGUUGUUCUAUGUUUUAGCCUUUUAAUCUGCUCCUUCAGAUGUUUUUUGCUUGUGGUUUUUUUUUUUUAAUUUUUUUUAUGAAGUCUAUACGAUAAAAUGAUGCUAGCCUACUGAAGUUUUUUUUAAUGUGUAUUAACAUUAAUAGAUGACGUUGUGAAUUGUUUUCUUUAUUCAUAUGCUUGUAUUAAGUGCAUGACAUGGUGAAUUGUUUUCUUUAAUAGCUAUAUCAGAUGACCAUCUUUUGCCCUUCCUUUUCUCAUUCAUUUCAUAUGCUUAUUCUUAUACAAUCUUUACUUUUACAUUCUUGGUAGCCUUGCUAAGGUUUGAAAUUGUAGUUCUGUGGACUGAAUUGCUGAAAGCCUGAAGAGCUUGUAAUUUCCAUUGUUUGAACGCAUAACAGAGAUUUGCAUCUCACUUUUUGAGGGGAAAAAGGGAUAGGAAGAAGUUCUAGGCCAAAAUAGAAAACACAGUGGUUAUAAUUUUUGGGUUCACGCUGUCGUUAAUCUCCAGCAUUAAAUGUUAUCUCAGUAUUACACAUGUUCUGUUGGUAGCAGCCUUCAAUAGAUAAUUCUACUGCUGGUUUUACAUUUUCAUAUUUUUAUUGUAGACAAGAUGUUGUUGAACUGCAGCCCCUCUAGAUACUUAUUAUCUAAGGGAAUACACAAGUUCUACUUGUGCCAUUUUUCUUAUUAUCUAACAGAAUUGUCUUUUUGCACUUGGUGGAUGCAUCUAGAUGUUUAUGUCACCACCAAAACGUUUUUUGUGGAUUUGGAAGAUCUUAUAGAAAAUGUGGCAGGAAGUGUUGAUUUGGACAGUUACUCUGUAAUCUUUUGCAAGCCAUGUAAAACACUAAAUAAAUGCUUUAUGAAUUAAAAAAUUCAAGAAA